rnacentral:rRNA from 1 species
AAACCUCAAAUCAGGAGGACUACCCGCUGAA